rnacentral:lncRNA from 1 species
AAAAAUUCAUAAUCUUAAAAAUUUUGGAAUAAAAACAUUUGAAAAGCUGUUUACAUCAUGUGUCGUACCGAUUUUAGACUAUAACUCAUCUGUCUGGGGUUUUAAAGACUAUGCAUGUGUUAACUUGGUACAAAACAAAGCCAUUCGUUAUUUCUUAGGUGUUCAUAAAUUCGCCCGAGAAGAUUGCUACAAAUGGUGAUGUUGGAUGGCUGCCAUGUAAAGAAAGACACUGGUACAAUAUAAUUAGACUAUGGAACAAGCUUAUUCGAAUGGACGAUUCACGCGUAUGUAAACAGGUUUUCAACUGGGACCUUGAACGGUGUUUGAACAAUUGGUCAUCAGAUAUGAAACUUAUUUUGUCACACAUUGACUUGGAAGAUUAUUUCCACCAAAAACAAACUUGUGAUAUUUCUCUUGUAAAAGACAGACUUUUCAUGUUGUGUUCCACUGAAUGGGAAAACUCUAUUACAAACUUUCCGAAAUUGCGGACAUAUAAAACAUUCAAAUCAGAAUAUAAAUGUGAAACAUAUGUUGGACUGAACCUCACUCGUUCUGAACGUUCUAUACUGGCACAAUUUAGAUGCGGCAUACUUCCUUUGAGGAUCGAAACCGGACGGUUCGUCGGAGAAGCAGAAGCUGACCGCAUUUGCAAAAUGUGUGACUCACGUGAUGUUGAAAAUGAACGCCACUUCCUGAUGGACUG